AGUAAAAGUCGUAACAAGGUCUCCGUUGGUGAACCAGCGGAGGGAUCAUUACAGAGUUGCAAAACUCCCACAAACCAUCGCGAAUCUUACCCGUACGGUUGCCUCGGCGCUGGCGGUCCGGAAAGGCCUUCGGGCCCUCCCGGAUCCUCGGGUCUCCCGCUCGCGGGAGGCUGCCCGCCGGAGUGCCGAAACUAAACUCUUGAUAUUUUAUGUCUCUCUGAGUAAACUUUUAAACAAGUCAAAACUUUCAACAACGGAUCUCUUGGUUCUGGCAUCGAUGAAGAACGCAGCGAAAUGCGAUAAGUAAUGUGAAUUGCAGAAUUCAGUGAAUCAUCGAAUCUUUGAACGCACAUUGCGCUCGCCAGUAUUCUGGCGAGCAUGCCUGUUCGAGCGUCAUUUCAACCAUCAAGCUCUGCUUGCGUUGGGGAUCCGCGGCUGUCCGCGGUCCCUCAAAAUCAGUGGCGGGCUCGCUAGUCACACCGAGCGUAGUAACUCUACAUCGCUAUGGUCGUGCGGCGGGUUCUUGCCGUAAAACCCCCCAUUUCUAAGGUUGACCUCGGAUCAGGUAGGAAUACCCGCUGAACUUUAGCAUAUCAAUAAGC
rnacentral:rRNA from 1 species